CCUACGGGAGGCAGCAGUGAGGAAUAUUGGUCAAUGGACGAGAGUCUGAACCAGCCAAGUAGCGUGAAGGAUGACUGCCCUAUGGGUUGUAAACUUCUUUUAUAUGGGAAUAAAACGUUCCACGUGUGGGAUUUUGUAUGUACCAUAUGAAUAAGGAUCGGCUAACUCCGUGCCAGCAGCCGCGGUAAUACGGAGGAUCCGCGCGUUAUCCGGAUUUUUGGGGUUUAAAGGGAUCGUAGGUGGAUUGUUAAGUCAGUUGUGAAAGUUUGCGGCGCAACCGUAAAAGUGCAGUUGAAACUGGCAGUCGUGAGUACAGUAGAGGUGAGCGGAAUUCGUGGUGUAGCGGUGAAAUGCUUAGAUAUCACGAAGAACUCCGAUUGCGAAGGCAGUUCACUGGACUGCAACUGACACUGAGGCUCGAAAGUGUGGGUAUCAAACAGGAUUAGAAACCCUAGUAGUC
rnacentral:rRNA from 1 species